UACGGGGGGGGCAAGCGUUGUUCGGAAUUACUGGGCGUAAAGGGCGUGUAGGCGGCCAACUAAGUCCGACGUGAAAUCCCCAGGCUUAACCUGGGAACUGCGUCGGAUACUGGAUGGCUUGAGUCCGGGAGAGGGAUGCAGAAUUCCAGGUGUAGCGGUGAAAUGCGUAGAUACUGGGAGGAACACCGGUGGCGAAGGCGGCUACCUGGACCGGUACUGACGCUGAGGCGCGAAAGCGUGGGUAGCAAACAGG
rnacentral:rRNA from 1 species